UUCUAUCAUAUGUAAAUGAUGUUGUUGCAUCACUAUGACAAAGUUUAACGAUGUGCGGGAUAACUUUGAAUGUAUGGAUUUUAUUAGAGCAAGCACUUGACAUUAUAACAGAGUAGCAGCUUUUUAAAAAUAGUAGAAGGUAAGUUUCUUUAAGUAAAGACUGAAUUUAAUUUUUAAUUUCUUGAUUCAGAUCAAUUUUCGGUAUCGGAAUUGAACAACUGUUAAAAUAAAUUAAAGUUUCAAUGAAUAUAUGAUUCUAGUAUCUUUUAAUUGGUCUGUGUUAUGGGUGAAUGCGCCUGUACUUCUAAGGUACCUGCUAUCAGUAUGAUAAAGUUAAAAACGAAUGGUUUGCUGCAUAGUUUUGGUUCUAUAAAUGUAGCGAGUCAUACAUUCGUUAGAACACACAUCACUUAUUAUAAUGUUUAAAUUAAUAAAGGAUAUUAAACGAGGAUAAAUGAUGUGAAGAGUUUUUUACUAUUUUCUUCAAUAUACCGAUCAGAAACAUAACUGAAAUAGAAAGAUACAGUUCAACCUUGACUGUCAGUAUGGUUGUUAAAGGGUGUGUCCUCGAUACCGGCGAAGCCUGUACAUUUUGUUUUCUUCAAUAGGUUCAAAUGAACAUCUCCUUUCUACAUUCAAAGACUCACAUGGUUUCCAAUGACAUUUCAUAUCAAGUUUUCCCUGUAGGAGGAUUUCCCCUCAACCCCACCCCGUUUUGCACCGCACUAUCAACUAUCAUUGAUGAACACCUUGUUCUUUAUUCUAUUAAAACAUAUUUGGUAACCAUAUUUAACAUACAUUUCCGACACUGUCUCUAUUCUUAUAUCGUCCUGUAUAAGUAUGAAAUAUUUGCCACUGAAUUUUAGGCAACUAAUAAUCAAUCAAUAUAUUCGUUAGAGAUGAUUAGGCUUAUUUAAAACAAACGAAAACGACGUAAAAAACUGAAAUCUUAAAAAAAACACUACAAAGGAGAGUAUAAAGAUUGAUGAUUUUUGAAAAUUCUAAGUUAUUAUCCAAAAGAUAUUUAUUAUUUCUAAUCUGUGAUAUUCCAAUGCCCGAAUCAAGUCAGGAAUAUGAAAGUUGAAUUCCAUUUGUUUGAUGUUUUUGAGCUUUUGAAUUUGUCAUUUUUUCAAUGACUUUCAGUUUUUAAUUCUCAUUGGAGUUCAUUACGUUGUUAUAUUUUGCAGACAGUUAUUGCUUGCGGAGUCAAAUAUUUGUAUCAAGUUUUUAUGUUAUCUUUUAACUAUUGUACUCACAUUAUUUUUUCAUGAAUUUCCUCAUAUUUACAUAUUAUAAUUUGUGAUGACUUUAGUCGGUUCCUUAUUUUUAUUAUAAAUGAUAACAAACAAAAUAUGUUUAAUAAAGAUUUAUAGAGGGAUCAAACUAUCGUCUACUAAAAUGGGCAAUUCACAUCGAUCUGUUUACGGACAUACUAUAAUAAUUAUUAAACUAAGUUUAGAAAUUGUGUUUUUUUUUUUUCAAAUAAUUCUCCUUCGAAUGAAAAUCUUAUGAAUACGAUAAAAUCUUAUGAUUACGAUUAAAAUUAUGUUUGUUUAUGAUUAUGUUGUUCGAUCAUAGUGACCAUUGUGUUACAAACACCAACCUUGGAUCGGGACACUCUACAAUCUAGAAGAGCAAAAGUAUAAAACAAAUUACUAUACAAAAAUGUCAACCAUCUCGUAGACAUUGAAGCAGAACCAUACAUUAUACUAAUUGGUGUUUCACUUGAGGACAUAACAUCAGAUACCGCCAACCACACUGUCACACCCUAGUUUACUAACAUUCCUUCUUCCCGAGUGCCGUCAGAAUUUGGAACUACCUGCCACAGCCACUGCCCUCGAUGGGUUUAAACAGGCUCUGUUAACCUCCAUCAACCCCUGAGUUGUAGUUAUUUGAUUUUAACUGUAAAUAUGCAUCUUUUAAAUCAGGUUUAAUCCACCAUUUUCUACAUAAGAAAAUGCCUGUACUAAGUCAGGAAUAUGUACUGCCAUGGUACGUAUGCGUUAGUGUAAAUAUACUCAAAAUGAGUCCUACACUUAAAUAGACAGAAGAUUGUUAAUGCGUCCCAGGUAUUUGAGAAUUUAUACUGCACUCGUUCUGUUUGAGCAGUCAAAUUGCGUUGACCGUAUAUUUCUAUGUCAUAUACAGUCAUUGACAUGAUAUCACUUUUCCUCAUGAAUGUCUAAAUAGAAAUUGCCGAGAUUAUAAUUAAUUAUUCAUACGACCUAUUCAACCUGUUCUUGUUUUCAAUGUAUAAAACGACUCAAACUUAUUUCUUUAACAAUUUUUAUAAAAAAAAAAAAAAACAUAUUUCACUUCUUAAAUUUGUUUGGUCUGCAUAUUUAUUUCAUUAUAUAUUUUAUGCUUAUUUUUGAUAUUUUAGUUCAUUCUUAAACAAAUUCGUUCACCAUCGAUUGCGAAUUUCAACAGGUAAAUGUACAUUUCAUCGUGUUGUAUAUUUCUCCGCCUGCCAUGAUAUGAGCCCCUUUUAUAAAAGGGGAAGUUCCCAAUAUUUAAAUCAAUGAUGACAUUAACACAUUAAACAACAAUUGAAAAUGUUUUUUUAGAUUGCAGUAUAAAGACAAUAAUAGUGCAUUGACUUGACAUAUCAAUGAUAUAAGGAUUCGCCCCAAAACGGGGGAAAAACUCGGGAGAGCCUCGCAUUUCCCGGGUUUCUAAGCGUUGAUAUGUCAAGUCAAUGCACUAUUAUUGUCUAUAUAUACAUCAAUUCACUUAUUUAUAGUUUAAAUCAAUACUGUUUUCAUUGUUUUUCUGCAUUUUUAGUAAUGUGCAAUUUGUUCAAUGUAAUCAUGGUAAUGCACAAAAGCUGUACUAUGUUGUUUGCAAUGUAGUUGUAUAAGAUUGUCUUCGAAGUACCACAACUGAUAUUAGAAUUUAGAGCGGCACGGUUUAUAUCAGGUCAAUAAAAAGGAAAAUGGGAAAAGGCCAAAGAGACAACAGCCAGACUAAAGAGCAGAAAACAGCCAGUCAGUGAACGGAUCUUAAACGCAGCGAAAAAUUCCGAACCCGUAGGUGGGCUUCAGCUGGCCCUUACACGAUAUUGUAUACUAAUUUCUCGAAAUGGAAGCCAUACGUAACUCUGAAACACACAGUUUAAAAACAUUCUAUUGUCAAAACAAUGACAAUAUGAUCAGGCACAAGUUCGUCAAGUAAGAAACACUAUGAAACAUACCAAUGAACCAAGAGUAUAGCAACACACAAGACUAUCAAAGACUAAAUGUUUCAGAAUUGGAACCGGUGUAAAAAUACGGCGGAGUUAAACAUGUUUUGUGAGAUCUCAACCCUCCCCUAUACCUCUAGCCAAUAUGGAGUAUAUAAGCACACAGCAAUAAGCACUGUAAAACUCAAUUUAAAAGUAGUCCGAGUCCGAAAUGAGAAUAUAUUUUAUGCUAGAAUUCGAUAAGUAAUUUUAUCUGGCUGUCAACAGCGAACAUUCUUCAUUAGAGUAAUAUAUAUUAAACAUGUGUAUUCUUACAGUCUAAUCUUCCGUUACUUUGAUUUUAAAUGUUAUAGUUUCUUAAAGCAUGACACACAUGUUAAUGUCGAUGCGGAGAUUUUCUGGUCUUUUUUUAUACUACAAUAUACCUGACGACGCAAUAGAAAAUAUAAUUAUAAUUCAAUAUUUACUUUCAAUGCUUACUGUUGAGUUUAUAUCAAUACACAUUCUUACUUUAAUGGAUUUAUAAUAAAACGACUGAGAAUGUUUUUAAAUAAUUUUAUCAAGCGUUACUAGUCAGGCAUAAAGAAUUUUUUAGGUUUCCGUUAACAUAUUGAUGAAUGCAGUCGUUGAAUUAGUUUUAGAAAAUGGACCAUAGUUGUAAACAUUAUCAAAACUUCGUUCACAAGAAAUAAUAGAAUUUGCAUGACAACAGUUACGCAACACCAGUCAGAAACACUUAUCAAUGACGUUCACAAUUCAUAAUUGUAUUGAGGGAGCAGUCUUUUACGUUUUAUUCAUCGGAAUUCUGUUUACAAAAUGUAAUAAUGGGUUGCUAAUUAUUAUAAUAUUACCAAUGCAGAUUUGCACUAGAUUUUGGAUAUGUAGUCAAAACAAGAGGCUCUCAAGAGCCUGAGUCGCUCACCUGUUAUUUUUGUUUUUGCUUCAAUCGUUCAUCAAUGAUUAUUUUUGUUUUACAAUAUAUAUUAAUGAGUGGCUUAAAAUGCCAUUUAAAUGUUCAUUGUAUGUGUCAUAUUCUCUUCAAAAGCAAAUAAAUACAAUUUACCCAAACUAGUAUGUUCCUUUUUAGUCAUAGUGUCUAUGACGUACAAGGAAAUAAAAUACAAAAUGUAUACUAGCUUGAUUUAUUUGAGAAGAUAUUUAAAGUUCAAAAACAUAAACAACUUGUGUAAUAUUGUCCGUAAAGGGCAAUAAUAGUUAUCAAAGGUACCAGGAUUUUAUUUUAAUACGCCAGACGCGCGUUUCGUCUACGUAUACAUAAUACUCGUCAGUGACGCUCAGAUCAAAACAAUCACUCACUUGACAAUUUUGGUCAUAUAAAACCUUUUUGUAGAUCUUACUUUGCUGAACAUUUUUUUCUGUUUACAUGCAGUUUAUCUUAUCUUCAAUAAUAUUCAAGAUGAAAACCAAAAACUGCAAAUUUCCCUUUAAAUAACUUUAACUUUUUGUCUGACAAUUUUGAGGCUGAGAGAUCCUGACCUUUUGAACAUUUAUACCCCAUGUCAGAUUCGCUCUAAAGGUUUUAUUUUCUGAGACAUGAGCCAAAAACUGCAUUUGACCCCUAUGUUCUAUGUUUAGCCGUUACCGUGAUUACGGCCAUGUUUGUUGAUGGAUCAAAAAUUAGGAUACAAUUCAUAAACUAAAUUCCUAAAGGAACAUUCGUUCAAAGUUAAGAAGUAUUAGGCACAAUAGUUUCAGAGGAGAAGAUGUUUAAAUGUUAGCAAAUUUUUAACAAAUUGUAUAAAAUUGUCUUAAAAAGAGCAAUAACUCCUUAAGGGGUCAAUUGACAAUUUUGGUCAUAUUUAACUUUUUUGAAUAUCUUACUUUGCUGGACACUAUUGCUGUUUACAGUUUAUAUCUAUCUAUAAUAAAUAUUCAAGAUAAUAACAAAAAUUAAACUGAAAUUUCAUUAAAACUACCAAUUUAGUGGCAGCAACCUAAUAAUGUGAGAUUUCCUCUAAAAGCUUUAGUUUUUGAGAUGUAAGCCAAAGACUGCAUUCGAUCCCUAUGUUCUAUUUUUAGCCAUGGCGGCCAUUUUUGUCAAUAGAUCAAAACUUCGGAUACAAUUUAUAAACUAGAUACCCUAAGGAUCAUUUAGUUAAAAUAGUUUUCAAAGGUACCAAAAUUAUAAUUUAGUACGCCAGACGCGCGUUUCGUCUACAUAAGACUCAUCAGUGACGCUCAUAUCAAAAUAUUUAUAAAACCAAACAAGUACAAAGUUGAAGAGCAUUGAGGAUCCAAAAUUCCAAAAAGUUGUGCCAAAUACGGCUAUGGUAAUCUAUGCCUGGGAUAAGAAAAUCCUUAGUUUUUCGAAAAAUUUAAAGUUUUGUAAACAGGAAAGGAGUAGGUCCGGUAAGGACCGAUUUUGGCCUCAAAUUUCAGGUUCAUCUGACGAAAGAUUUUGACCACUUUUUGGACACUAAGUGUCUAUCUAUUUGAAUUAAUUAGUUUAUUGAAAGAUUUUAACAGAUUAGUCAUUAAAAACGAUCCGAUUCAAGCUCAAAUAUGAAAAUCUACCUUAAUAUGCCGAAAAAUGUCACUUUUCAGAUGGUUUUUGGUAAAAAUGAAAGUGGCCGCAUCCGUGUUCAUCCUCAACCUUUAUAUAUGUUAUGUAUUAUCAUAAAAUACAACUUACAUUUCAAUAUUAAGGAUGAACACGAAUGCGGCCACUUUCGUUUUACACGAAAACCGUCUAAAAUUAUGGGGAUUUCAGUAAUUUAGCAUGACUUAAUGGUGCUAGUACCGGAUAUAUGUGCAUUGUAUUGUCAAAAACAGUCCAUAUUUAUGUAGCAGAAGCAUUCUACUGUCCAAUAAAUAACUAAAGGUUUAAAUUUUAACAAUUUUGUAAAACUGCUAUAUUUUGGGGCCAAAAAGGGGUCUUACUGAACCUACUCCUUUAUAAAAAUGACCCCAUUAUUGAUAUUCAUGUCAACACCGAAGUGUUGACUUCUGGGCUAGUUAGGACGUAUUUGGCCCAGUAGUUUCAGAGGUAAAGAAUUUUUAAAUAGUUUACGACGACAGACGACGGACGACGACGGACGCCAAGUGAUGGCAUAAGAUCACAUGGUGUCCUACGCGUCCCGCUCAGCUAAAAUGAAGUUUAAGUCCUGCAAGAUAUGAUUGUGCUUGUCAAGAACCAUAUAGAUGAUUAUCAGAAAUCAGGCCGUUUUCUCUUUUAAAUCGAUGAUGGAACCUUUUAUAGCUUACUCUACGGUAUAGUGUUUGCAAAUUGUUAAAGGUCUUACAGUAUGCUAUAUGUGUAUACAUCCUUGUCAUUUGGUCUGUUAUGGACCUUUUACAGCGGUAUGGUGUAUGCUUAUUGUUGAAGGUCUUACAGUGUGCUAUAUGUGUUUACAUCGUUGUCGUUUGCCCAAUUAUGGACCUUUUAUAGCGGUAUGGUGUAUGCUUAUUGUUGAAGGUCUUACAGUGUGUUUACGUCCUUGUCGUUUGGUCUGUUGUGUCAUUGUCUUAUUGGCAGUCUACUUGACAUUACAUUAUGUCAAAUCAAAAUGUUUUUGUUUUGUUUUAUUUGGGGUUUUUUUUUUUCUUAUCAGUAAUAUUAUUAUUUUGAGAAUUUGGUGUUGAUAUCAGAUGGAUUGUAAUUCCCGCAAACGAUCAAAUGGUAUCGUUUUAUAGAAAUAAAGGGCAGACAAAUAAACAAUAUUGCUCAUUUCUGUUGUAGAUGGGAAACGUAUGCAGUGGAAAAGGAGGUGGUAUGGGGCAAAUAAAUAAAUUUUGUAAAUGUGCUGGCGACCGACCUCACUCUGGACAUUCUAGGAAGGGAAGUGGUAAAGGCCGCAAAGGAUCUCCCCCUGCCCAUGGAAGACGUAGGAAGGGCUCACACAGCAGUUAAUAUGCAAAACAUGUUUAUAUGUGUGGAUUUAUGCAAUUGAUUUAUGUAUAUACACAUCAAUUUCUAUGUUAAAUUUGUACAUUUUAAAAUAUUUGACCAUAUAUCGACAAGUGAUAAAUUUUCACGAGAGUAUGAUUUCAAGUUUAUAUAUAUAUAUAUAUAUAUAUAUUUUUAUAAGAUGGACAAUUUCUCUAAUGAAUAUAAUGCUUUGAAG
rnacentral:lncRNA from 1 species